rnacentral:rRNA from 1 species
GGGCCCGCACAAGCGGAGGAACAUGUGGUUUAAUUCGAUGAUACGCGAGGAACCUUACCUGGGCUUAAAUGUAGAGUGCAUGAGGUAGAAAUACUUCUUUUCUUCGGAACUCUCUGCAAGGUGCUGCAUGGUUGUCGUCAGCUCGUGCCGUGAGGUGUCGGGUUAAGUCCCAUAACGAGCGCAACCCUUAUCGUUAGUUGCCAGCGGGUAAUGCCGGGGACUCUAGCGAAACUGCCGGUGUAAACCGAGAGGAAGGUGGGGAUGACGUCAAAUCAGCACGGCCCUUAUGUCCAGGGCUACACACGUGUUACAAUGGCCGGUACAGAGGGCAGCUACCUGGAGACAGGAUGCGAAUCUCGAAAGCCGGUCUCAGUUCGGAUCGGAGUCUGCAACUCGACUCCGUGAAGCUGGAUUCGCUAGUAAUCGCGCAUCAGCCAUGGCGCGGUGAAUACGUUCCCGGGCCUU